GACGAACGCUGGCGGCGUGCUUAACACAUGCAAGUCGAACGGAAAGGCCUCUUUCGGGGGUUGCUCGAGUGGCGAACGGGUGAGUAACACGUAAGUAUCCUGCCCGUGACGUUGGGAUAACUUCGGAAAACGGGGGUUAUAACCCAUUAGGCGCGCCUGCGACAUUGGGGGGGUUGGAAAGUUUCGGCGUGUGGGGGUGGCUUCGCGGCGUAUCAGCGUUUUGGGGGGGUAGUGGGUUACAAAGGCGUUGCCGGGUAUCCGGACAGAGGGGGUGAGCGGCCACAUUGGGACUGAGAGACGGCACAGACUCCUACUGGUGGCCGAAGUGGGGAAGACUGAACCAUGGGUGGCAGCCGGAUGCAGAAACUCCGCGUGCGGGAAGACGGCCUUAGGGUUGUAAAACGGUUUCGAUCAUGAAGAAGCUUUGUGUGACGGUAGUGGGUAAAGAAGCACCGGCUAACUACGUG
rnacentral:rRNA from 1 species